rnacentral:rRNA from 1 species
CAAUUUUCAACAAGGGAUCUUUGGGUUCUCGCAUAGAUAAAAAACGCAGCAAAAUGCAAUACGAAAUGUAAAUUGCAAAAUUCAGUAAAUCAUGAAAUUUUUAAACGCCCCUGGCCCCCUUGGGCUUUCCAAGGGGCACACCCGUUUGAGUGUCGGAA